GUUUCUGUUUCUUUUCCAUUCCUUUUCUUCUGCUUCUCCUGUCUUCCCUUCCCGGUUUUGCUGAUCUUCAACGAAACCUUUUAGUACAGAACUAUUUCGCCCCGAGGAGCAAGCCCUCCGGGCGAACCUUAUUCCUGCCUCCGAAAGAGAGCUGAUUCUGGGGCAUUGCCUGUCCCCCGCCCCCCACCCCCGCUCAUUUAUUUGGGCCGGGCCACCCCACCAGUCGCCUUUCAAAACUAGCAGGAACGCAGCAGCCAAUUGGGCAGGGGGCGGGGGCUUUGUAGCUGAAACGGAAGGGGUGUUUGGGGACUUGGUGGCGCUUGGCUUCCGGGGGCACCGCAGACCUGGGCCUGGACGCGUGUCGCCAUACACCUUUGGCCUGCAAACUCAAGCUUGUCAUUUUACGAAGCUUCUCUCUGUUUCAACGUCGAUUCAGAAAGGAGAGAAAAUAUGCACGCAAUUUCUGUCUUAAACAAGUUUUGAAUUUUAGAUUUAAAAAUAUUAGGCUGAGGCUAUAAUUCACUGGGAAGUUACUUAUUGUGCAAAGAUGCAAGUUCGAUUCCCACGCACUCCAAAAUGAGAAGGAAAUACACGUGUAUUUAUUUAUAUAAAGCCUUGUCGAUUAUACACAUUUCUUACUGUCCUGGGGACUCUUCCACCCAACGAUACAGGUCACCUUGGCUCUCCCCAUUCUUCCCAGUGUCCCAGUCCAGUAAAAGAGUGAACUGUGUCCCCACAUGGAACACCAGCCACCAACCAGAAUAUUCUUAUGCUUGCUUUUCCUUCCCUCCUCUCCCUUCCGAUGCUUCGAUGCUUCCUUUUUUCCUUUCUUUUAAUCCCGCUUCUUCCCUUUCCUUCCGCCCCUUUAUUCUUAAUUUCCCAUAAACAAACAAAACCGCUCCAGACGUGAUCAGGUGGCCGUGGAAGAGCGAAGGUCUCCCCAAUUCCUGUAGUAGGUCCCCCUCUCACUUGGCCUCAGGCGGGAGCCACGCAAGGGACCCUGCCCGGUGCGCGCCCACUCCUGGGCGACCCCGGCCGGCGGCCGCUGACUCAACGCCGAGGUGGGCUCGCAGCUGCCCAAAAGGUCAUCGCGGUGGCACCCCUCUCCGUGCGCUGUUUACGUGACUUAAUGUACUUCUUACGCGGCGCUUGUUAUCUGGGCCACCCAAUGACCGACGAAAGAUCUUCCCUCCCCAUGUUUCCCAUCGCCGUUUUAAACCAAAUAAAUUUAGCUAUUAAGG